rnacentral:rRNA from 1 species
CAGCAGCCGCGGGAAUACGAGGGGAGCUAGCGUUAUUCGGAAUUACUGGGCGUAAAGCGCACGUAGGCGGCUUUGUAAGUUAGAGGUGAAAGCCCAGAGCUCAACUCUGGAAUUGCCUUUAAGACUGCAUCGCUUGAAUCCAGGAGAGGUGAGUGGAAUUCCGAGUGUAGAGGUGAAAUUCGUAGAUAUUCGGAAGAACACCAGUGGCGAAGGCGGCUCACUGGACUGGUAUUGACGCUGAGGUGCGAAAGCGUGGGGAGCAAACAGGAUUAGAGACCCCUGUAGUCCCUGUCUCUUAUAC